CUGCCCCUAUUUUUACUGAGAUCCGUCGAAGUAUUGUUGGUGUGAAAGGUAACCUUGGAUCACUUAAAUUCACAACCAAUUUGUGAAUUUUGAUUUCGGUUUGCUUAUUUGGAUUGUUUCGUGGACGAUAGUUGAUUAAGGGAGCUUCCCUAACUUUGAGGCAAAGGUAAUAAAGGCAGCAAACCGGCGAGGGGCAGGAAGGAAGCGUGACCGCCACAGGGGACACUUUAAAAUUUUGCUUCCGCUUAGUGAUUUAUAGUAUUAUUUGUAUUCGAACGUGAGACUGUUUAGAAAAUUUUGAAGUUUUAAAGUAUUCAAAGAUUUGAAACUUUUUAGUUUUAAA